GUCCCUGUCGAUUAGUGGUCAAAUUAUCACGUUGUGGUUAAUAUCUCCGUGAAGCCGGGAGCUCGAAUCUCCCCAGGGACA